GCAAGUCGAACGAGAACGCACCUUCGGGUGUUAGUAGAGUGGCGCACGGGUGAGUAACGCGUGGGAACCUACCGAGAAGUGGGGGAUAACCUUUGGAAACGAAGGCUAAUACCGCAUAAUCCCUUAGGGGGAAAGAUUUAUCGCUUUUCGAUGGUCCCGCGUCCAAUUAGCUAGUUGGUAGGGUAAUGGCUUACCAAGGCGACGAUUGGUAGCUGGUCUGAGAGGAUGAUC
rnacentral:rRNA from 1 species